rnacentral:rRNA from 1 species
AUUGAACGCUGGCGGCAGGCCUAACACAUGCGAGUCGAACGGUAACAGGAAGAAGCUUGCUUCUUUGCUGACGAGUGGCGGACGGGUGAGUCAUGUCUGGGACACUGCCUGAUGGAGGGGGAUAACUACUGGAAACGGUAGCUAAUACCGCAUAACGUCGCAAGACCAAAGAGGGGGACCUUCGGGCCUCUUGCCAUCGGCUGUGCCCAGAUGGGAUUAGCUAGUAGGUGGGGUAACGGCUCACCUAGGCGACGAUCCCUAGCUGGUCUGCGAGGAUGACCAGCCACACUGGAACUGAGACACGGUCCAGACUCCUACGGGCGGCAGCAGUGGGGAAUAUUGCACAAUGGGCGCAAGCCUGCUGCAGCCAUGCCGCGUGUAUGAAGAAGGCCUUCGGGUUGUAAAGUACUUUCAGCGGGGAGGAAGGGAGUAAAGUUAAUACCUUCGCUCAUUGACGUUACCCGCAGAAGAAGCACCGGCUAACUCCGUG